AGAGUUUGAUCCUGGCUCAGGACGAACGCUGGCGGCGUGCCUAAUGCAUGCAAGUCGAACGAACUCGACCUUCGGGUCAUAUGAGUGAGUGGCGAACGGGUGAGUAACACGUGAGAAACCUGCCUCGAAGUUCGGAAUAACUCAGGGAAACUUGAGCUAAUACCGGAUGCCCCCUACGAAUCGAAUGGUCUGUAGAGGAAAGAUUUAUCGCUUCGGGAGGGUCUCGCGGCCUAUCAGCUAGUUGGUGAGGUAACGGCUCACCAAGGCAUUGACGGGUAGCUAGUCUGAGAGGACGAAUAGCCACACUGGGACUGAGACACGGCCCAGACUCCUACGGGAGGCAGCAGCAGGGAAUCUUGCACAAUGGACGAAAGUCUGAUGCAGCGACGCCGCGUGGGGGAUGAAGGCCCUAGGGUCGUAAACCCCUUUCAGUAGGGACGAAAAUGACGGUACCUACAGAAGAAGGUCCGGCCAACUACGUGCCAGCAGCCGCGGUAAUAAGGGCGAAUUC
rnacentral:rRNA from 1 species